rnacentral:tRNA from 1 species
AAAGCCGGAAUAGCUCAGUUGGUAGAGCAGAGGACUGAAAAUCCUCGUGUCACCA